rnacentral:rRNA from 1 species
UACGAAGGGGGCUAGCGUUGCUCGGAAUCACUGGGCGUAAAGGGUGCGUAGGCGGGUCUUUAAGUCAGGGGUGGAAUCCUGGAGCUCAACUCCAGAACUGCCUUCGAUACUGGAGAGCUCGAGUCCGGGAGAGGUGAGUGGAACUGCGAGUGUAGAGGUGAAAUUCGUAGAUAUUCGCAAGAACACCAGUGGCGAAGGCGGCUCACUGGCCCGGUACUGACGCUGAGGUGCGAAAGCGUGGGGAGCAAACAGG